AACGGGCACGGACUACAACUCCCAGGAUGCCUCGCGCCGCCUGAAACCCACCGGCGACGGCGCGGUCCCGGACUCGGGAGUGGGAGGCCUGGCUGAGUCGGGAGGGCCGGGUGGGGCCGGGAUCGGCGGCUCCGGCCGGGCCAGAUUCCCGCGGCCGGGCCUGCGAGCGGACGGCGCGUAACGGGCACCUCCGGGGCCUGGGCGCAGCAGGCUGCGCCGGCUGCGCUGGGGUCGGGUCGGACUGGGCGCGAGGGGCGACGCUUAGAGCGCACAGUGUCAUGGACGAGGACCCUGGGAAGGGCUCUGACUUGGGCGGGCGCGGGGUUUAAACACUGCCUGGCGUGGACCUGGCUGACUAGACGCGUUGACGCGACGUUGCUCUGGAGCCCUUUGGCCUUUACAAACCUCUCACAGAAAAUUCCCGCCGCCUGGAAGCUGGGACAGAAUGGGUGGGAGAUGACAAGUCUCCUGGUGUGUCUGUUAUGAGCCAAAACGCGUUUGGACCUGUAGGUCGCCGAAGUUGCCUUUGCAAAGAAAGAGAAACACGACCAUUCCAAGUGGCCUUUGUCCCUAGCCCCAGAUAAACUUGGCGUUCUAAAAACAGGACAGGCCAACACCUGGGAAAUAAGAGAUGACCGCCUCUGACUCCUUUCUAACAAGGCGUGGCAAAGGGAGAAUGAACCUGAUGUGGGCAGAAUUCAGAUGAGCUGGACAGUGCUGUGAAGAAUCUGCAAGCAGCCCCCAAGAGCCCUGAGCAAAAUGGCACCCAAAACCAAGAAGGGAUUGAAAGGCUCCAUCGAUGAUGUCCUUGGUGACCUCCUGGGGGAUGACAUUACACUCCCUGCGAAGCCUGUUGAACUAGCUUCACAUGCCAGAGGUGCCACACGUACACCUCAGGGGCUCCUUUCCUCAAAGAGCAGAGCACGGUCCCUCCUGGAAGACAAUAUUGUUGACACCCUGACAGGAGCUGAUGCUGAGAUUUCUGAUGUGUCAGAGGCAGACCCGCAGGCCUUGCUGCAGACCAUGAAGGAUCUAGAUGACAUGGAUGCUGAUGUCCUGGGUUUGAAGAAGUCUCAUCCAGCCUCUGGCAAAACAGCUACCAAGGGUUCUGGGAAAGAGGAGCUGCCUAGCAGCCCCAAACCUGCCAGCAAACUCGCAGCCGGCGAGAAGGGGGACAUCAUUGCCACCAAGCAGCCACCUGCUUCUCCCAGUAGCUUUGGACAUCAGCACCGGAAGCUUUCCUUUGAAGACUUGGAAGACCCAUUGGCAGGACUUCUCUCUGAUGAGGAGGAAGAAAUUGCCAAGAAGCCACUUGUGACAGAGAGUAAAACAGCUUCCAACAGGAGUCCCAGCACAGUCAGAGAUCAAGAUCCCUGUAUUCCUCUAACUCCUGGAGACACUCCCAUCCGAAAGAAGGAAUUGCUGUUUGAUGAUGGGGAUGACAUCAUGGCUACCUUGGGGUUUGGAGACAGCCCGAAGGCAGAGAGGAGACAGAUGGGUGACCAGGAAGGGCCCCGCCCUGCUCGCUCCAAGCUGGAUGAACUGCUGGGUCGAAGCACAGCCACAAAACUCCUGGCUCAUCCGGGUACUGGACAACAGAGAGAGUUCAAACUAGACAAAAAGUACCAGAGACCACAGGACAAAGAAGAAGAAGAUAGCUGGGACAAUGAGGACCUCAUUUUUGGGGCCUACCAGCCCACUGUGGGCUCCUCCGAGGGUCUGCAGUCUCGGCGGCAGUCUGUCAGGGUCUUAGAAGGUGGCCCAGACCCCAAGGGAGAACCAGGCCCCAAACAAAGCUCCCCAGUGGCUUCCAGCCCAGUCUCCCCCAGGAAGGGAGGAGCUGACUGGCUGGGCCUGAAGGAUGACGACUUGGAUCUGCUGCCGCCAUCUCCCAUCCGGGAGUCUGACCGGGAAGGCUCGGCGAUACCCACACCCUCUGUACCCCAUCCCGUGAGCCAGCACUCAGCCCUAGAUCCAUACUCUGCCCCAUCUGGACUGCCCUCCUUGAGGCCAAAGCCACCAGCAGAGAGUACAGGGCCCUCUGCCCAAGCCAGCCAGGCCUCCAGGCUGGGAGUACCUGAGGAGAAAGAGGAGGAGGAUUGGCUGAGCCACGUCUUGUCUCGGAAGAAGUCCCAAGCUGCAACAAGAGAGGAGCACACUGAGGCUUAUAAGGGCCGGGACUCAAUGGGGACAGCAGGCCGUCCCCUUUCUGACAGCCAACCUGUCGGCCGCACUCAGGGCCUUGAGCAGGCAGCUGCGGGAAGGACCUCAGGAGCAAGAGUGCAAGAAACGCCAGCUGCCAGGCCGCUCGUCACAGGGUCCCCUGAGAGUUGGAGCCACCCUCCAUUGGCCUUCCCUGCAGGUGACCCAAAGAGAGGAACAGCCUCUGGAGACCCCUCUGGCACCGAGCCUGCAGUUUGUCUCCCAAGCUCCCAGGAAUCCACAGGGCUCUCUGUACCUGUCCAGCCACAGAGGAGGGGAAAGCCAGGAAGUCCAGUGAGCAGAGGGCCAGGAGGUAGCCAAGCUCAGCUCCUGGUGUGGGACAGCUCUCAUCCUUCCCCACAGUCCCUGCUCCCAGAGCCCCUGGAGCAGAGCCUGUUGCCAGGUGUGGGGUACCAGAAGCAACUCCUGGCAGCCCAGGCGCAGCUUCAGAGUGGCACUGCCCAGCUCCAAGCAGAGCUGCUACAGAGCCAUGCACGGCUGGCAGAGCUGGAGGUCCAGGUGCGGAAGCUGGAGCUAGAGCGCACCCAGCAGCAGCUGCUGCUGGGGAGCUUACAGCAGCGGCACCAGGCAGACCUGGAGCUCAUUGAGGACGCACACAGAAGCCGCAUCAAGAUGCUAGAGACAUCGUACCAGCAACGGGAGGAGCGGCUCCGGAGAGAGAAUGAGGAGCUGUCAGCUCAGUAUCUGUCUCACUGCCAUGAGGCUGAGCAGGCCCGAGCCGAGCUCACAGCCCAGCACCAGCGGCGCUUGGCAGCAGCUGCACAAGAAAAAGACCAGGAGAUGGAGCGGCUCCGAGAGUUGCAGCGGGCAUCCAUCCUGGAAAUGCGCAAGGACCAUGAGGAGCAGCUACAUCGACUGAAGCUGCUGAAGGACCAAGAGAUCGAUGCCGUCACCAGUGCCACCUCCCACACACGGUCCCUGAACGGCAUCAUCGAGCAGAUGGAGAAGUUCUCCAGCAGCCUGAAUAAGCUGUCCUCCCGUGUGGAGGCCUCGCACCUCACCACCUCGCAGGAGCGGGCGCUGGGACUCCGACAGCAGGACGAGCAGCUGCGAGCGCUGCAGGAGCGGCUGGGCCGGCAGCAGCAGGACAUGGAAGAGGAGCGUGCUCGGCUGCAGGAGGUCAUUGGGAAGAUGGAGGCGCGCCUGAGCGAGCAGAGCCGGCUCCUAGAGAAGGAACGCUGGCGAGUGAGUGCGGAGCAGUCCAAGGCAGAGUCCACACAGCGUGCUCUGGAGGAGCAGAGGAGGGUCAUGGCCCAGCAGAUCACCAUCGAGAGGGAGGAGCUGGAGAGGGCCAAGAGUGCCUUGCUGGAGGAGCAGAAGUCCGUCAUGCAGAAAUGUGGGGAGGAGAGGCGGCGCCUGGCGGCCGAGUGGGCUGACUUCUUCACGCAACAGAAGCUGAGUAAGGAGCGGGCUGAGCGAGAGGCCGAGCGAGCACUGCAGGUGGACAGCCGGCGAGAGGGCACCCUCAUCAGUUUGGCCAAGGAACAAGGAGAGCUAAAGGUCAGGGCCAGCGAGCUCCGGGCUAAGGAGGAGCAGCUGGCAACCGAGAGGGAGGCUGUGGAGCGGGAGCGGCAGGAGCUGCAGCAGGAAAAGGAAAGGGUCAAAGCCGCCACCCUGCGCCUCCAGCUCCGCGCUGAGGAGGUGGAGCACAUGAGCAAGGUGGCCUCUAAGAAGUACCAGGAGGGUGAGCAGGCACUGCAGGAGGCCCGGCAGGUGCAGUCUGAGCAACAGGCCCGGUUGCAGGCCGUUCGGAGGCAGCAGGAGCGGCUGCAGCAGCAGGAGCAGCAUGUGCAUCAGGAGCACCUGAGCCUGGCGCAGCAGAGGCUACAGCUGGACCGUGUGCGACAAGACCUGCCUUCCAGCCUCCCAGGGCUAUUCUCCAAAGUCCAGGGCCCAGCAGCCUCCAGCCCAGGUGGUAAGUGGCUCAAGGAGGAAGGGAUGGGGCUCAGCCAGCCCAGGACAGGGGCACAGUUGCUAGGAUUACAGCCUCCUCAGCCCUCGUGACUCCUGCACCCACCACCCUUCAGUGCAGCCAGCUGCUGGCCAGCCCGGGCCCUGCACACCUCCUUGCCAAGUUGGUGCUGCUGAAGCACACAGCCGAGCAGGACCGUGACUUCUUGGAGAAUGAACAGUUCUUCCUGAAUGCCCUGAAGAACGCGUCCUACAAUGUGACACCCCAUUCCACCUAACAUGGACCUGCUGCCCCUCGGCGCGCACCUGGACCUGGAGCUCCCCUCACCGUGCUGCCGGCGCCUGCUGCAGCUCUCCAUGAGGACGGUGUGCCAGUGCGCUCUUGCCGGGCCCUGCAGCCUGCCACUCGGACGCAGGCGGGCACUCCUGCACCUCUGGGGCUCGAUGUGCAGUGGCCCCCAGGAGUCAUGGUGAUGAGGCAGCCUCGUCACACCCAGUCUGAGGGUCUGGGGAGGCAGCGAGCUCCCCGGCUCCCGCGCAGCUGGUGCACCUCCAGUACUGCACAGGCGGCUGCUCUGGGGUCUGUGUGCCUGGGCCUUUUCAGAGACGGGUGCUUUCUUGAGGGUGCCAUGAACAGCCUUCUACCUUCUUUGAGAGGUCCCCUUCCUAAUGGGGACAUAGAGAAAGGCCUCCUGGGCAAGUGAGUGGGAGGUCUGGUUGGGGGCGGGGAGGACGUCGUGCCAGAUUCUUCUCACAGUUAGAUGAGCUCCUGGGAUUCACCACCACCCGCUCACUCCCUGCUCUGCCCAAGUGACUGACCAGCUCAGCAUGGACUUUGGCCUGCAGCCUCUUCCUCCUCACCAAGGCGCCCACCAGAAGCAGGAGUAGGGAACUCUGGAGGGUGCUGGGGUGUGGAGAGGGGCAGGAAGACAGCCAGAGCCUUUGCCCCUGCAGGGGAGAAAGGUGACCUGUGGGUCCCCACGCACCUAGGCUUCUACUGCCACCUGCCUUUGCCGUGCUCCCUGUGCGGGCCAUGUGCCGAGGUCAGCGGGAGGGAUGCCAGGAGAGGCUGGAGGGGUGGUCGUUGUACCCAGCAGACCCAGGACAAAUCAACUCAACUAAUAAACGUGCAGUUGCUGCUAAAGCAACUUCUGUCCAGGAGCGAUUCCUCACCGUCCAUCCCAGAGGAAGCCAUCCAAGUGAGCAGGAGGGCAGAGGAGGAAAACAGGAGGGAGAAGCAGCACCGUUCUAGCUCUCUGUUCUUCAGAACAGCUUUCAGAGGGACCUGAUUUAUUUGCCAACCCAGUUUGUAGUUUUGGUCUUGAACCCAUUAAACUACUCUGUAUUUACUUAUUUAUGACACAGGAUUAAACUCAGGGG